GUGGGAGGGGGCUUGCUCCCGAUAGCGGAGUGUCAGUCAACUGAUUUAUUAGCUGAUCUACCGUCAUCGGGAGCAAGCCCCCUCCCAC
rnacentral:misc_RNA from 1 species